UUGACUUCGCACUCCAGGAUGUCUGGCUCUAGGUGAGUGUUCAUACCAUAGUGGUUGUCUGGGCCAUUAAGAUCUUUUUUGUAGAGUUCUUCUGUGUAUUCUUGCCACCGCUUCUUAAUAUCUUCUGCUUCUGCCCUUUAUUGUGCCCAUCUUUGCAUAAAAUGUUCCCUAGGUAUCUCUAAUUUUCUUGAAGAGAUCUCUAGGCUUUCCCAUUCUAUUGUUUUCCUCUAUUUCUUUGCAUUAUUCACUUAGGAAGGCUUUCUUAUCUCUCCUUGCUAUUCUUUGAACUCUGCAUUCAGACGGGUGUAUUUUUUGAGAAGAAAAAAGACCUGACAGAAUGAUAUAGUAGCGUCUUGAGAAAUUUAAAAAAAAUAAUCCUUGAAGAACCUAAUGCAAAAUAUCUUAACCUGACUAUCAUAAAAAAAGGCAUCUAAGUUCAAAGACAUGUAGAAAGCAGACCUGGUCCAUAUCACACCCCAUCUGAACAAGCAGGUAAGGAUCGGAUACAGCUAUUUGUAAGUUAUAUCACCUUUUGACUUCAGACUUUUAAAAGUAUACUCUUUCACAACGGUAGAAAUAAAACUGGAUUUUGUAAUUGUGUGAUGGUUAUUGCAACACCAUUAUCUAAGCUACCAAAACUUACACUCAGAGCCACAAACCCAAGUGUAUCGAUGUUCCUGAGAAUUCUCUUUGGGCAAUAAAUGAGUUAUUCUUUUAUUUAAACAUUAUGAAAUGUACUGAAUUUUUUUUCUCUUAGAUUUCCUACCGAUUCUCACAUUUAUGGAAGUGAAUAUUCCUGCAGCAUUUGUGGUAGCGAUUUCCAUGUAAAUCCAGACUGUGUAAGUAACAAUGGAAGGUACCAAUGGAUACCUUCCAUUCACCGGUGACAGCCACCCAGGCCCAAGGCUAGUGGAAGGAGCCCAGGUGAGGACCCCAUGACCUGAGUACACACCUGCCCUGGUAGGGAGCCUGGCACUUCUGGAUGGCAAGAGAGAUCAAACGUGAACAGUGGAUGAAGGUGUGGUGGUCUCUGCACUUGAGAAAAUGUGGCAGGGCAUGGAGUUGUGUGCUGCAGAUAUGCCCCCAAUGACACGCGUGAUGAAUGUCAGCCGGAGGAAUCCGUAGCAUGUUGGUGACAGAAGUCGCAAUGAAGAUG
rnacentral:lncRNA from 1 species